ACAUACAGUGUACAUGUACUACGUGAACAGCGGGAUGCAUGUGGAAGACCAUGCACGUAUUGCAGUGUGUUCAUUGUGUAGCUUCCGUGCGCAAAGCACUGUGCCUGGCCUCUCUGGAUUAGCUGCAGACCUUGUAAACAUACACCAUGGAUUCAGCUGUAAUUAACACGUUAACAGGUUAAUCCGUAAAACAAGCACCCAAAGGCCGGAAGCCAGCUGGCACCUCACAUGCAUGAUCAGAGCACAAGGCAGGCUGGUGCUCAGUUAAUGCCCACUUUUUUGUGAUGGUAAUGCCCUCGAGAAGUCAGGUCGCAACGCCAAGUACUGCUCAUAAAAAAAGUUUCGUGGUUUGAUCAUCGCUCUGCGCACUGCAUGCCCCGCACUGUAGACGUGAACUUUUCGGCGAGGGCAGGAGGAAACUACUUCUUCGUAUUUCAGGCAAAGAAAAACGGCUCAAUAAACAUGUAUUCGGCACAGAUCAAGUAUCGACAGGUGACGAUGCAACUGACCCUACAAACUUGACUGAGAGGGAAAUUGAGGAUGACAACACAGACUUCGCCCUUCGUUUCUCAAGUAGAAGUUCAGGAGAAGGUGCUGGCUAUUUUCUCAUCGCUGCAGAGGAAUCAAGAACAUUAGAGCAGAUUGACUGGCCGUGCAAGUCAAAUCUGAUGACAAUCUGAAUCAUGCCCAGGUUCACUUCGGGACAAACGGGCCAAUAAGAAACAAGUGGAACUGAAAAUAGGUAAACUGGUUGUAACACAUCUAAUAACAUAUGCAACACAUAUUUUGACACCAUGGAGGUCAAAUUAUUUGUAUGUUGUCAUUGUAUACUUUUUUAAAGUUGAAUUUCUUUUAAAUUGGUUAUAGGUCAUGGUUGCUUACUUAAUGUAAACAUAUAACUCAAAUGUUGGAUGAUAUUAAUUAUGAUGACUUCCUCAGAGAUAUGCAACACAUAUUUUGACACCAUGGAGGUCAAAUUAUUUGUAUGUUGUCAUUGUAUACUUUUUUAAAGUUGAAUUUCUUUUAAAUUGGUUAUAGGUCAUGGUUGCUUACUUAAUGUAAACAUAUAACUCAAAUGUUGGAUGAUAUUAAUUAUGAUGACUUCCUCAGAGAUGUGAUUUUCUUUCAUGAGAUCAGAUUACACCAUGAUGACAUAUUUUGUCUUUUCAAAUGUCAUUGAUAUCAAUAAGGGAAUAAAGGGAAUAAAUGUGAGGUUUAAACACUCUGUUUAACACCGGAUUUGAAAUCUAUGUUUGUAAAUAAGUAAAAUUCAUUCAGCCCAGCAGUUUUGGCAUAAAGUAAAGUCAAAUUACCUUUUUUACGCUGUGACGCUAUACUGAUCAAUUGUGCCAACAAAAUACAAUUCCUUGCUGCCCACUGACAAAGUUGGUGGAUGACAAGUUGCAUGAUGACAAGUGCAUCGUUUUUAUCUGGAGAAUAGACCAUAGCCCUAACAGUUUCUGAAUCCUCCAAUUUCAAUAUGAAAUGGCACACCCCCUAGGGAGUUACAUGUAGGUUAAGCAUAAUCGACGUCGCAUUUUGUUAACAUGUGCCCUUUCCUAUGGAAGCUUGGUGACUAGCUCGUGUCCCCACCUACCUCUCGUAGGAAAUCACACGUGUAAACAAAGCAUGAUGUCAUGAGGUGUUUGGUCUGUAGGGUUGAAACUUGCUUGCUAAGCAGGUACAUGUGUAUUACACGAAUGUUAUAGGUAACAUAUAUGGUGAAUUCAUAAUGGCGUCUUGACAUUUGUGACAGUAUUUGAAGUUUUUGAAUAUUUAAGCCAUAUUUUGUAAGCAAAGCAUGACAAAUGUUAUUUCUGUGGUAGUAUUAUUAGGGCAUAAGUUUGUACCGUCAUGAUGAUGUCACAAAACGUUGAUACGUCUAACGUGCUCGGUCCGGUAGUUGGAUUAUGUUACGUGCAUGCAAGUCUGAAGUGAUGUAGUAAUGUUGUCAUGAAUUUUGUUUAGAAAUUGCAACUUAAAAUAUUUGGUAUUAAAUGGCCAUUGUUUAAGUCCUACAUCAACCAGUAUAUAAUCUAGAGAACAACCACUUUUGCAAUGGAAAGUACAUGUACAUGAAAUUGAACAUGAGAAUGACUUGUUAAAUUUCAUAAUGCAAAAACCUUUACAUCUUUUUGUCGCAAUAUUAAUUUUAUGACCAAGACAGAAAUAAACUACUUGGUCUUCAGGCAAACUUGUUAAGAUAAAAAAAAACCUUGAAAUUUACCAGGUUUUCUCAAACAAAAAAUGCCCUUUUUACAUAUAUUUUUAAAUGUCAUGUACAAAAUGAGAGACCGUAACACAAAUGUCAAUAUUCAACCUUUGUCAGAUUUUUUUAUGCUAUUGUAUAAUUUUGAUAUUUUUAUAGGGAAAUAAAAUACUGAGCUGUUCUUAUACAGUGACAUCUGAA